rnacentral:lncRNA from 1 species
CAAGAAUUGAUCAACAGGAUCCGAAAUUGUAAUUCGAGCCCACCGACUUCACGAUGUGUCCUUAAAACGAAUUUGCUGCCUUCAAUGGUGCUACAGGCGUCCAGCAAUCGUUUUCCAGGAUAGAACGAAUUUUUCGUCUCCUACGGAAGCAGCACUGCAGUCUGUAGGAGUUCCAACGAACUCAACGAAGUGUUUUUUGACUUCGAGACAAUAUCAGAACGAGAGAGAGGGAAAUGAGAUUCAAAGCACAGAAAGUUUGCAAUGAAAAUGGUGUAAAUUUUCUGGUAGAAAGGCUGGCUAUUUAUAGACUUGUUCGUGG